CUGGACUUGAGCAGUCGAGCGAUGAAGCUUCCUUCGGGAAGUGGAUUAGCGGCGGACGGGUGAGUAACACGUGGGUAACCUGCCUCAAAGUGGGGGAUAGCCUUCCGAAAGGAAGAUUAAUACCGCAUAACAUAAGAGAAUCGCAUGAUUUUCUUAUCAAAGAUUUAUUGCUUUGAGAUGGACCCGCGGCGCAUUAGCUAGUUGGUAAGGUAACGGCUUACCAAGGCAACGAUGCGUAGCCGACCUGAGAGGGUGAUCGGCCACAUUGGAACUGAGACACGGUCCAGACUCCUACGGGAGGCAGCAGUGGGGAAUAUUGCGCAAUGGGGGAAACCCUGACGCAGCAACGCCGCGUGGGUGAUGAAGGUCUUCGGAUUGUAAAGCCCUGUUUUCUGGGACGAUAAUGACGGUACCAGAGGAGGAAGCCACGGCUAACUACGUGCCAGCAGCCGCGGUAAUACGUAGGUGGCGAGCGUUGUCCGGAUUUACUGGGCGUAAAGGGUGCGUAGGCGGAUGUUUAAGUGGGAUGUGAAAUCCCCGGGCUUAACCUGGGGGCUGCAUUCCAAACUGGAUAUCUAGAGUGCAGGAGAGGAAAGCGGAAUUCCUAGUGUAGCGGUGAAAUGCGUAGAGAUUAGGAAGAACACCAGUGGCGAAGGCGGCUUUCUGGACUGUAACUGACGCUGAGGCACGAAAGCGUGGGUAGCAAACAGGAUUAGAUACCCUGGUAGUCCACGCCGUAAACGAUGGAUACUAGGUGUAGGGGGUAUCAACUCCCCCUGUGCCGCAGUUAACACAAUAAGUAUCCCGCCUGGGGAGUACGGUCGCAAGAUUAAAACUCAAAGGAAUUGACGGGGGCCCGCACAAGCAGCGGAGCAUGUGGUUUAAUUCGAAGCAACGCGAAGAACCUUAC
rnacentral:rRNA from 1 species